rnacentral:lncRNA from 1 species
CUCCCCCAAAGCCCGAUUUCGGCUGCGAUAUUUUCGGGGCGGCGGUUUUCUGCCGAAAUCUGCCUUCGUGGCUGAAAACCGCGGGGCAGAGCAGCGCUUUGUGCCUCCAGCAAACAGAGCGGGCAGCUGAAACUCGGAGGGGAGGAGCGAAGGGUCGGCGAAUUUGCAGGAGGCUCACAAACAAAUCAAACAAACAAACAACAGCUUUGAAACGACAGCUUACGGGCAAAUAACCGUUUUCUCCCUAGAAAAACCCACGUCCGAUGGGCUCCCGUGUGGUUGGAGGCACUGGCAGGAGGAGCUGUAGCCCACGGCCAGGUGAGGGCAGCUGCUUGAAGAGAUGGAAGCAGUGACCCUCCCCAGCUGCAGCUCUUCGCAGUGCUGUUGCAGAAGCAGGGCUGAAGCACUGCGGGGCUGCUCUGCUGCACCCCGGUUGCAGGUUGAUAGCACCUGGAAGGCAAAAAAAAAAAACAAACCAACCCAACAAACCAACACAAAAGUCCUGAGGUGGUAAUGCAUGCAUGUUCAUGUCUUCAUGUAGAGUGUUCAUCAGUGCCUUAUGUCAUGAUUUACAAAUAAUAAUAAUAAUACCAAUAAUAAUAACCAAAAUACCAUUUGGAAUGCCAACAUUCAGUGGGCUUUGAGGAGAUGUAGCAGCACAUCAUGGUUUGUAGGGACAAGGAGAUACAGACCAUUCUGGGCUGCCUCAUUACCUCAAGGAUAAGACAAGAAAGUGAGCUUCUGGUUAUCAUAGGGGUGGAGGCUGACGUGUCCCCAUAGCC